CUACGGGAGGCUGCAGUGAGGAAUUUUGCGCAAUGGGGGAAACCCUGACGCAGCAACGCCGCGUGAGCGAAGAAGGCCCUCGGGUCGUAAAGCUCUGUCAAGUGGGAAAAAAAUUUUUUGAUCAAUAGUCAAAAGACUUGAUGGUACCACUGGAGGAAGCACCGGCUAACUCCGUGCCAGCAGCCGCGGUAAUACGGAGGGGUGCGAGCGUUGUUCGGAUUUACUGGGCGUAAAGAGCGUGUAGGCGGUUUAGCAAGUCAGAUGUGAAAGCCCUGGGCUCAACCCGGGAAGUGCAUUUGAAACUGCUUCACUAGAGUAUGGGAGAGGAGAUUGGAAUUCCUGGUGUAGAGGUGAAAUUCGUAGAUAUCAGGAGGAACACCCGUGGCGAAGGCGAUUCUCUGGACCAAUACUGACGCUGAGACGCGAAAGCGUGGGGAGCAAACAGGAUUAGAUACCCUGGUAGUC
rnacentral:rRNA from 1 species